rnacentral:rRNA from 1 species
AUACGGAGGGUGCGAGCGUUAUCCGGAUUUAUUAGGUUUAAAGGGUGUGUAGGCGGUAUUUUAAGUCAGUGGUGAAAUCUCGGAGCUUAACUUCGAAACUGCCAUUGAUACUGGAAUACUUGAGUAUAGUUGAGGUAGGCGGAAUAUGUAAUGUAGCGGUGAAAUGCAUAGAUAUUACAUAGAACACCGAUUGCGAAGGCAGCUGACUAAACUAUUACUGACGCUGAUGCACGAAAGCGUGGGGAGCGAACAGGAUUAGAAACCCUAGUAGUCC